AGAGUUUGAUUCUGGCUCAGGAUGAACGCUAGCGGCAGGCUUAACACAUGCAAGUCGAGGGGCAACGCGAGUAGCAAUACUUGGCGGCGACCGGCGCAAGGGUGCGUAACGCGUGAGCAACAUGCCCGUAUCAGGGGGAUAAUCCAGGGAAACUUGGUCUAAUACCCCAUAGUAAUUUUGUAAGGCAUCUUAUAAGAUUUAAAGCUUUGGUGGAUACGGAUUGGCUCGCGUGACAUUAGCUGGAUGGUAAGGUAACGGCUUACCAUGGCUAUGAUGUCUAGGGGUUCUGAGAGGAAGGUCCCCCACACUGGAACUGAGACACGGUCCAGACUCCUACGGGAGGCAGCAGUGAGGAAUAUUGGACAAUGGAUGGAAAUCUGAUCCAGCCAUGCCGCGUGAAGGAAGAAGGUCCUAUGGAUUGUAAACUUCUUUUGUAUGGGAGCAAUAAGGCCUACGAGUAGGCUGAUGAGAGUACCAUACGAAUAAGCACCGGCUAACUCCGUGCCAGCCGCCGC
rnacentral:rRNA from 1 species